rnacentral:rRNA from 1 species
GACGAACGCUGGCGGCGUGCCUAAUACAUGCAAGUAGAACGCUGAAGAGAGGAGCUUGCUCUUCUUGGAUGAGUUGCGAACGGGUGAGUAACGCGUAGGUAACCUGCCUUGUAGCGGGGGAUAACUAUUGGAAACGAUAGCUAAUACCGCAUAACAAUGGAUGAAACAUGUCAUUUAUUUGAAAGGGGCAAUUGCUCCACUACAAGAUGGACCUGCGUUGUAUUAGCUAGCAGGUGAGGUAAUGGCCCAACUAGGCGACGAUACAUAGCCGACCUGAGAGGGUGAACGCCCCCACUGAGUCCGAAAAACAGCCCAAACAACUACGGGAGGCAGCAGUAAGGGAUCCUACGCAAUGGGAGCAACCCUGACCGAGCAACGCCGCGUGAGUGAAGAAAGAUGUCGGAUCAUGAAGCUCUGUUGUAAGUCAAGAACGGGAGUGAGAAUGGAAAGUUCACACUGUGACGGUAGCUUACCAGAAAGCGACGGCUAACUACGUG